GACGAACGCUGGCGGCGUGCCUAAUACAUGCAAGUAGAACGCUGAAGAGAGGAGCUUGCUCUUCUUGGAUGAGUUGCGAACGGGUGAGUAACGCGUAGGUAACCUGCCUUGUAGCGGGGGAUAACUAUUGGAAACGAUAGCUAAUACCGCAUAACAAUGGAUGACACAUGUCAUUUAUUUGAAAGGGGCAAUUGUUCCACUACAAGAUGGACCUGCGUUGUAUUAGCUAGUAGGUGAGGUAAUGGCUCACCUAGGCGACGAUACAUAGCCGACCUGAGAGGGUGAUCGGCCACACUGGGACUGAGACACGGCCCAGACUCCUACGGGAAGCAGCAGUAGGGGAUCUUCGGCAAUGGGGGCAACCCUGACCGAGCAACGGCGCGGGGGUGGAGAAGGUUUUCGGGUCGUAAAGCUCUGUUGUGAGUCAAGAACGGGUGUGAGAGUGGAAAGUUCACACUGUGACGGUAGCUUAACAGAAAGGGACGGCUAACUACGUG
rnacentral:rRNA from 1 species